ACGCUUGCAGAGGAAACACGAGAGGGAGAAGGGGAGACGUCAGUUCUCGGCAACACCAGCAAGGCCGUUGCUCUGAAAGACGGCAUGAAAAUGGAGAAGAGCUGAUGCGGGAUCGAGGAGUGGGUGAAUAGUGGGAUACUCUGACGCCACUCUAGAGAAGAGGAUGAGGUCUCCUCCCGUGGGGCAGGCCCUGCUGAAAAGCUGAGGACAAUCUGAGCUGAGAGUUCUCGCUACUGGGUGUUUCUGCCAAAGGAGGAGAGGAUGGAAAGUGAAACGGGAAUCAUCCAAAUAUCUUGCCAGGGUCAAAACAACGGUGGAGCUCAGAUCUGACCCAGGCCACUCUGACCUUGUUUUCCCACUCAUUCCCCUUUUUCUGGGGAUGAGGUUUGUAUCUUUUGCCCCUGUGGCUUUUAUUCCCAAAUUCUUACACAUUCUUUAUCUAUAAGAAACAUUUCCUAGCAUCAUUUGAGUUCAUCCCAGUGGACCCUUUG